UGCAAUGUGAUAAAUCCAAUUAGGAAUGUAGGUGAAACAUCACUACUCAAAGACUGACUUGUUGGACUCACUACCAUAAGGAAUGGUCGAGAUGAGUGUAAUUGAUGUGAUGCAGAGGAAGCAAAUGAGACUAAAAGGAUUAGGAGAAUAUGCUGAUGUGUUGAGACAAUGAGAGGUCAGAUGAGACUUGUGUGAGCUGAAACACAGCAUCACUUUGGCUGAAUGGUCUGUAAAUACUUGGUAAUUAUUUCAUCCAUCCAGUCAAUGACUGCCAAAGUUCAGCUUUAGGUUCCUGAUGUUAGUCAAAGCCACAAAGCAAUUCACUCACCCAUGAAUUUUAAAGUGGACACACACUAAACUGCAAGCUGCCUUCUUCUGAUAUAGCGUGUAAAUCACCAACUUAACCAGGGCUGCAGAUGGUAAUUGAUUAUACAAAAUCAAACUUUGUCCAUGGUAUGCAGGAAGGAGGUAAACUGACAAGUCUUGGCACGUGUGAAGCAUUAAAUUGCAAACCGUGAUUUCCCUAAGAAUAGUGAUGCUCACAAUCAGUUUAUGAUUAGCUUCGGUGUCACAUGCGACUUAAUUAUUCCUCAUCUCUGCUUCCAGUGGCUUUGUCAAGCAAAGAACAGAGUAAACAUCUUCAGCCACAGCAGUAUUCUGUGAACACUGAAUAUCUGAAAUGAAAGCAGUGGAUGUAAAAGAAUCCUGUGAUGCUGGAAGUUGGUGGGGAAGCAGUGAUCUCGCUGAAAUUGUAAUCCAGAGGCCUAGUCUGAUGCUUCAGGGAUGGGGGUUCAAAUCACAUCGCAGCAGUUGGUAGUAUUUCAUAAAAUGAAUAAAAUCUGGAAUUGAAACUAGUCUCAUUAAUGGCGACUAUCAAUCUACAAUCCAAAAUUGUAAACAAUCCAUUAGAAAUGUUCUUUGGAUGGAAAUCUGUCAUCUUUGCCUGGUCUGGUCUACAUGUGACUCCAGACACACAGCAAUGUAGUUGACUCUUAACCAUCCUCUGAAAUGACACCUAGUAAGCUUUGUGUUCAAGGGCAGUGGUGUCCAUAUCCCAUCAAAGAAUGAAAAAGAGGCGGUAUCUUGAUCAGUAUUUCUCCUCCAAUCAACACCAUUGAAACAGAUCAUCUGGAUAUUAACAUAUAGCUAUAGAGUAAUAGAGAUGUACACCAUGGAGACAGACCCUUCGGUCCAACCCGUCCAUGCCAACCAGAUAUCUCAA